UGAAAAUGCCCUUUAAACCACUUUUGGUAUCAAGGAGCUGGUAUCAAGCACACUACACAGUAGCUCAUAACACCUUGCACAGCCACACCCCUACGGGAAACAGCAGUAACAAAAAUUAAGCAAUAAACGAAAGUUCGACUAAGUUAUGCUAAUUAGGGCUGGUCAACUUCGUGCCAGCCACCGCGGUCAUACGAACAGCCCAAAUUAAUAGAACCCGGCGUAAAGAGUGGUUAUGACAUUCACACACUAAAGUUAAAUUUAACCUUAGCUGUAAAAAGCUAAAGGUCUAAAAUUAAAUACCCUACGAAAGUGACUUUAACAAAUCAGAAUCCACGAUAGCUAAGAUACAAACUGGGAUUAGAUACCCCACUAUGCCUAGCCCUAAACCUAGUUAAUUAGUAACAAAAUUACUCGCCAGAGAACUACGAGCAAAAGCUUAAAACUCAAAGGACUUGGCGGUGCUUUAUAUCCACCUAGAGGAGCCUGUUGUAUAAUCGAUAAACCCCGCUAAACCCUACCAUCAUUUGCUAAUCCAGUCUAUAUACCGCCAUCUUCAGCAAACCCUUAAAAGGAACCAAAGUAAGCUUAAUUAUACUUAAUAAAAACGUUAGGUCAAGGUGUAACUUAUAUGAUGGAAACUAAUGGGCUACAUUCUCUUUAAAAGAGUACUACGAACACCCUUAUGAAAAGUA
rnacentral:rRNA from 1 species